UACGUAGGAUGCAAGCGUUGUUCGGAAUUACUGGGCGUAAAGAGUACGUAGGCGGUGAUAUAAGUCUGAUAUUAAAUACAGAAGCUUAACUUCUGAACUGUAUCGGAAACUGUAUUACUAGAGGACAAUAGAGGAAGUCGGAAUUCUCAGUGUAGCGGUGAAAUGCGUAGAUAUUGGGAAGAACACCAGUGGCGAAGGCGGCUCACUGGCCCGGUACUGACGCUGAGGUGCGAAAGCGUGGGGAGCAAACAGG
rnacentral:rRNA from 1 species